CAAUUAUUACAGCUCUUUUUGAAUUUGUCUAGCAGGUUUUCUGUUUUUUGUUUGUUUGUUUGUUUUUUGGUUUUUUUACUGGAAAACCCCC
ensembl:snRNA U7 U7 small nuclear RNA